ACGGGUGAGUAACACGUGAAUCAUCUACCUCCGAGUGGGGAAUAACCUAGAGAAAUCUGGGCUAAUACCGCAUAACACUUACGAGUCAAAGCAGCAAUGCGCUUGGAGAGGAGUUCGCGGCAGAUUAGUUAGUUGGCGGGGUAAUGGCCCACCAAGACGAUGAUCUGUAUCCGGCCUGAGAGGGCGCACGGACACACUGGAACUGAAACACGGUCCAGACUCCUACGGGAGGCAGCAGUGGGGAAUUUUGCGCGAUGGGGGAAACCCUGACGCAGCAACGCCGCGUGGAGGAUGAAAUCCCUUGGGAUGUAAACUCCUUUCGAUUGGGAAGAUUAUGACGGUACCAAUAGAAGAAGCCCCGGCUAACUUCGUGCCAGCAGCCGCGGUAAUACGAGGGGGGCAAGCGUUGUUCGGAAUUAUUGGGCGUAAAGGGCGCGUAGGCGGUUUGACAAGUCUGAUGUGAAAUCUAUGGGCUCAACCCAUAACCUGCAUUAGAAACUGUCGGGCUUGAGUAUGGGAGAGGUGAGUGGAAUUUCCGGUGUAGCGGUGAAAUGCGUAGA
rnacentral:rRNA from 1 species